rnacentral:misc_RNA from 1 species
GAAACAAAUUCUUUAUGCAUCUCUGCCAUCAUUUUUUGAAAUCUAUCCUCAAAACGAUUUUCUAAUUCACUCAUUUGAUGCUUAAGUGAUUCUACCUCAACUUUUCUUUGUUGUUCAGAUUCUUUUCUUUGUUGUUCAGAUUCUUGAAGACGUUGUUCGGACUCACUAAAGCGACGUUCAAGAUCGCGUAUAUUAGACGAUGAUCCAAACAACUCAGAAG